AGAGUUUGAUCCUGGCUCAGGACGAACGCUGGCGGUGUGCUUCACACAUGCAAGUCGAGCGAAUGAAGUAGGUAGCUUGCUACUUAUGGAUUUAGCGGCGGACGGGUGAGUAAUAUAUAGGAAUCUGCCUUAGAGCGGGGAACAACAGACCGAAAGGUUUGCUAAUGCCCCAUAGGUAUGCAGUCUUCGGAUUGUAUAUUAAAGGAGUAAUCCACUCUAAGAUGAGCCUGUAUCCGAUUAGCUAGUUGGCGGGGUAAAGGCCCACCAAGGCUACGAUCGGUAGUUGGUCUGAGAGGAUGAUCAGCCACAAUGGGACUGAGACACGGCCCAUACUCCUACGGGAGGCAGCAGUGGGUAAUUUUACACAAUGGGGGAAACCCUGAUGUAGCGACACCGCGUGAACGAGGAAGCCUUUUGGGGUGUAAAGUUCUGUCGGCUGGAACGAAAAAAAUGACGGUACCAGCAAAGGAAGCAUCGGCUAACUACGUGCCAGCAGCCGCGGUAAGACGUAGGAUGCAAGCGUUGUCCGGAUUUAUUGGGCGUAAAGAGUUCGUAGGCGGUUAUUUAAGUCUGAUGUUAAAUACUGUGGCCCAACCACAGAACUGCAUUGGAUACUGGAUGACUUGAGUGCGGUAGAGGCAAGUGGAAUUCCCAGUGUAGCGGUGAAAUGCGUAGA
rnacentral:rRNA from 1 species